UCAAGCUACAAAGGGCUCAUGGUGGAUGAUUUGGCGUCAAUAGGCGAUGAAGGACGCGGUAAGCUGCGAUAAUCCUCGGGGAGGCGCAAACAGCCUUUGAUCCGGGGGAUUCCGAAUGGGGGAACCCAUUAUGGGUAAUACCGUAAUAUUCAUGCCUGAAUAUAUAGGGUAUGAAAGCGAUACCAGGAGAACUGAAACAUCUUAGUAACCUGAGGAAAAGAAAACUCUUAGUGAUUCCCUCAGUAGCGGCGAGCGAAAGGGGAAGAGCCUAAACCUGAUGUAUGCAGAAGGCUGUCCAAGUUGUACGUCAGGGGUUGUGGGGUUUAGCCGGAUUUACGGACAGGACGAUCAGGGAGACAUAACUUUUAUCUCAAGCCGAAUAGUAUGGAAAGGCUAAUCAAAGAUGGUGAGAAUCCAGUAGGCGAAUGGGAUAAGAGCUCCCCGGGCUAAAUACCCAAGUACUAUGGGACACGUGGAACCCUAUAGGAAUCUGGCCCGACCACGGGCUAAGGCUAAAUACUAAUUGGCGACCGAUAGUGGAAAAGUACCGUGAGGGAAAAUUGAAAAGAACGCCGGAAGGCGAGUGAAAUAGUACCUGAAAUCGUGAGCCUACAAGCCGUAGGAGCUCCGACGUUACGUCGGAGUGACUGCGUGCCUUUUGCAUAAUGAACCGGCGAGUUAUUGGGCGCAGCAAGGUUACCCCUGCCAUGCAGGGGAAGCCGUAGCGAAAGCGAGUCUGAAUAGGGCGAUUGAGUUGCGUCAAAUAGACCCGAAUAUGAGUGAUCUACCCACGGCCAGGGUGAAACCCGCGUAAAAGCGGGUGGAGGCCCGAACCCAUCAGUGUUGAAAAACUGUGGGAUGAGCUAUGGGUAGGGGUGAAAGGCCAAUCAAACUCAUUGAUAGCUGGUUCUCCCCGAAAUAGCUUUAGGGCUAGCCUCACAGAAUUAGAUGACGGGGGUAGAGUACUGAAUGGGCUAAGGAUCUUACCAGAUUACUGAACCCAAUCAAACUCCGAAUACCGUUAUUCUCUACUGUGGGAGUCAGACUACGGGGGAUAAGCUCCGUGGUCGAAAGGAAAACAGUCCAGACCGCCAGCUAAGGUCCUAAAAUGCAGGCUAAGUGGGAAAGGAUGUCAGAUUACAUAAACAACCAGGAGGUUGGCUUAGAGGCAGCCAUCCUUUAAAGAGUGCGUAACAGCUCACUGGUCAAGUGGUCUGGCGCCGACAAUGUAACGGGGCUCAAGCCUGCUACCGACGCUGCGGGAUCUCGUUUACUUCGGUAAAUGGGAUCGGUAGGGGAGCAUUCUGCAAUCAGUGAAGCUGGACGGUAACGACCGGUGGAGAGUGCAGAAGAGAUUAUGCCGGCCUAAGUAGCGAUAAACUAGGUGAAAAACCUAGUCGCCGUAAGUCUAAGGUUUCCUGGGGAAGGUUAAUCCGCCCAGGGUUAGUCGGUUCCUAAGCUGAGGCCUACGGGCGUAAGCGAAGGGCAACAGGUGAAUAUUCCUGUACUACCGGGCGACGAUAAAGACGCAAUGGGGGGACGCAGGAGGGUAGGCCAUGCCCGUGUUGGACGUCGGGCUCUAAACCCGUAGGGGGUCUUGAUAGGCAAAUCCAUCGAGACAUUAACCCCGAGAGGUGAUGGGGAGGCCGUAAGGCCACAAACUGGCUCAUCCCACGCUGCCAAGAAAAGCCUCUAGCGAGUCGUCAGGUAACCGUACCGCAAACCGACUCAGGUAGACGGGAAGAAUAUUCUAAGGCGCUCGAGAGAACACUCGCUAAGGAACUCGGCAAAAUAGCCCCGUAACUUCGGGAGAAGGGGUACCAUGCCAGCGUGAGUGAGUAUACCUUACAAAGCGCUGGAAGGUCGCAGAGAAUUGGGUCAAGCGACUGUUUAAUAAAAACACAGGUCCGUGCGAAGCUGAAAAGCGAUGUAUACGGACUGACGCCUGCCCGGUGCCGGACGGUUAACAGGAGGUGUUAUCUGCCGCAAGGUGGAGAAGCUCCGAAUCGAAGCCCCGGUAAACGGCGGCCGUAACUAUAACGGUCCUAAGGUAGCGAAAUUCCUUGUCGGGUAAGUUCCGACCUGCACGAAUGGCGUAACGACUUGACCGCUGUCUCAGCGAGUGGCUCGGUGAAAUUGUAGUACCGGUGAAGAUGCCGGUUACCCGCAGCAAGACGGAAAGACCCCGUGAACCUUUACUGUAGCUUGGCAUUGAAUCUUGGUGCAGUUUGUGUAGGAUAGGUGGGAGGCUUUGAAGCGGGGGCGCUAGUCUCCGUGGAGUCAACCUUGAAAUACCACCCUUUCUCUACUGGGAUUCUAACCUAGACCUGUGAAGCCAGGUUGGGGACAGUGUCAGGUGGGCAGUUUGACUGGGGCGGUCGCCUCCUAAAAUGUAACGGAGGCGUCCAAAGGUUCCCUCAGCACGGUCGGCAAUCGUGCGUCGAGUGCAAAGGCAUAAGGGAGCUUAACUGCGAGACCUACAAGUCAAGCAGGUGCGAAAGCAGGGCUUAGUGAUCCGGUGGUCCCGAGUGGAAGGGCCAUCGCUCAACGGAUAAAAGGUACUCCGGGGAUAACAGGCUUAUC
rnacentral:rRNA from 1 species